rnacentral:lncRNA from 1 species
GGCACAGCACGCCCCAGCAUCCGCUCUCCGGCGCCCUAGCCUUACACAACAUCACGCACACCCACUUACACCCACUUACACACACAGGCACAGGCACAGGCGUCAUGUUUCACGCACAGCGUACACCGCCACACCCAGCUGUGCCCGUGCAGUAGGCCUCAGCCCUGCUCGCUCCUAAUUAGCCGCUACUUCUGCAUGAAUGCGGCAUCAUCAAGGCUGCCGCAUGCGUACAUACAUUUCGUUGACGCGAGAGCAUGUUUGCACUUGCCCCCUUACACACGCUCCUUAUGUAAGGAGCCCUAGUGCGGCCUGGCAGUAUGUAGAUGCAAUCUGGAGAACCCCAAGCAACCAGACGCUUUCUCCAGCCCAAUACAAUAUUCUGGCUCCUAUUAAAGGGAAAGAAACCCGAUUGCAGCUGGUUGUAUCAUCCAUCCAGCUCCCUGCAUGUCUGUUGGACCAUGACCAUCUUGCAGUUCCACAGCCGCAAACUCAAACGGUAUGCAUGGACUCCCAGCCGGUGGCUGAGCCUGCAUGCCACGCAAGGUGAUGAUGGCAGCACAGCUAAGGCUUGGUACGUACCUGUAUGCAUGGCAUGGGGAUCGUGGGUGGAGGAUACACCUGCCGGUGCAGGAUUACACAUGGCUCCCUGACUGGGUAUGCAAGAUCCAAGAUACCGUCCUGGCUAGUAGUCUGGAUCAUAAAGAGUAAUGUGCUGUGCAAAGCCCCGCAUAACAGCCCCGCACGGCAUGCCUUGUGCCUGUGCUUGAUGAUAUUGGAUUCCCCCCAACAGCCAACUGGAGUUGCACACCUGCACCCAGUUCCAAGCAUGUGAUCUCAUUCCAGCAUUGCAGGCACCUGGACGAGCGGCCAACCUGUCGCAGUGCACCGCAGCAAGAGGACUGCGCCCAGGGCCUGAUGACAUCACCCAGUUUUGAUCUGGGGACCUCCUGUGUGUGAGACAGAUGUGAUUCCACUACACCAUGAUGUCAUAGCUAGGCACAGCACGCCCCAGCAUCCGCUCUCCGGCGCCCUAGCCUUACACAACAUCACGCACACCCACUUACACCCACUUACACACACAGGCACAGGCACAGGCGUCAUGUUUCACGCACAGCGUACACCGCCACACCCAGCUGUGCCCGUGCAGUAGGCCUCAGCCCUGCUCGCUCCUAAUUAGCCGCUACUUCUGCAUGAAUGCGGCAUCAUCAAGGCUGCCGCAUGCGUACAUACAUUUCGUUGACGCGAGAGCAUGUUUGCACUUGCCCCCUUACACACGCUUAAGGAGCCCUAGUGCGGCCUGGCAGUAUGUAGAUGCAACCUGGAGAACCCCAAGCAACCAGACGCUUUCUCCAGCCCAAUACAAUAUUCUGGCUCCUAUUAAAGGGAAAGAAACCCGAUUGCAGCUGGUUGUAUCAUCCAUCCAGCUCCCUGCAUGUCUGUUGGACCAUGACCAUCUUGCAGUUCCACAGCCGCAAACUCAAAUGGUAUGCAUGGACUCCCAGCCGGUGGCUGAGCCUGCAUGCCACGCAAGGUGAUGAUGGCAGCACAGCUAAGGCUUGGUACGUACCUGUAUGCAUGGCAUGGGGAUCGUGGGUGGAGGAUACACCUGCCGGUGCAGGAUUACACAUGGCUCCCUGACUGGGUAUGCAAGAUCCAAGAUACCGUCCUGGCUAGUAGUCUGGAUCAUAAAGAGUAAUGUGCUGUGCAAAGCCCCACAUAACAGCCCCGCACGGCAGGCCUUGUGCCUGUGCUUGAUGAUAUUGGAUUCCCCCCAACAGCCAAUUGGAGUUGCACACCUGCACCCAGUUCCAAGCAUGUGAUCUCAUUCCAGCAUUGCAGGCACCUGGACGAGCGGCCAACCUGUCGCAGUGCACCGCAGCAAGAGGACUGCGCCCAGGGCCUGUUGACAUCACCCAGUUUCGAUCUGGGGACCUCCUGUGUGUGAGACAGAUGUGAUUCCACUACACCAUGAUGUCGAAGCUAGGCACAGCACGCCCCAGCAUCCGCUCUCCGGCGCCCUAGCCUUACACAACAUCACGCACACCCACUUACACCCACUUACACACACAGACACAGGCACAGGCGUCAUGUUUCACGCACAGCGUACACCGCCACACCCAGCUGUGCCCGUGCAGCAGGCCUCAGUCCUGCUCGCUCCUAAUUAGCCGCUACUUCUGCAUGAAUGCAGCAUCAUCAAGGCCGCCGCAUGCGUACAUACAUUUCGUUGACGCGAGAGCAUGUUUGCACUUGCCCCCUUACACACGCUCCUUAUGUAAGGAGCCCUAGUGCGGCCUGGCAGUAUGUAGAUGCAACCUGGAGAACCCGAAGCAACCAGACGCUUUCUCCAGCCCAAUACAAUAUUCUGGCUCCUAUUAAAGGGAAAGAAACCCGAUUGCAGCUGGUUGUAUCAUCCAUCCAGCUCCCUGCAUGUCUGUUGGACCAUGACCAUCUUGCAGUUCCACAGCCGCAAACUCAAACGGUAUGCAUGGACUCCCAGCCGGUGGCUGAGCCUGCAUGCCACGCAAGGUGAUGAUGGCAGCACAGCUAAGGCUUGGUACGUACCUGUAUGCAUGGCAUGGGGAUCGUGGGUGGAGGAUACACCUGCCGGUGCAGGAUUACACAUGGCUCCCUGACUGGGUAUGCAAGAUCCAAGAUACCGUCCUGGCUAGUAGUCUGGAUCAUAAAGAGUAAUGUGCUGUGCAAAGCCCCGCAUAACAGCCCCGCACGGCAGGCCUUGUGCCUGUGCUUGAUGAUAUUGGAUUCCCCCCAACAGCCAACUGGAGUUGCACACCUGCACCCAGUUCCAAGCAUGUGAUCUCAUUCCAGCAUUGCAGGCACCUGGACGAGCGGCCAACCUGUCGCAGUGCACCGCAGCAAGAGGACUUCGCCCAGGGCCUGAUGACAUCACCCAGUUUCGAUCUGGGGACCUCCUGUGUGUGAGACAGAUGUGAUUCCACUACACCAUGAUGUCGAAGCUAGGCACAGCACGCCCCAGCAUCCGCUCUCCGGCGCCCUAGCCUUACACAACAUCACGCACACCCACUUACACCCACUUACACACACAGACACAGGCACAGGCGUCAUGUUUCACGCACAGCGUACACCGCCACACCCAGCUGUGCCCGUGCAGCAGGCCUCAGUCCUGCUCGCUCCUAAUUAGCCGCUACUUCUGCAUGAAUGCAGCAUCAUCAAGGCCACCGCAUGCAUACAUACAUUUCGUUGACACGAGAGCAUGUUUGCACUUGCCCCCUUACACACGCUCCUUAUGUAAGGAGCCCUAGUGCGGCCUGGCAGUAUGUAGAUGCAAUCUGGAGAACCCCAAGCAACCAGACGCUUUCUCCAGCCCAAUACAAUAUUCUGGCUCCUAUUAAUGCCGUACGUGUCAGGUCUGUACGUCGGGUAAGGUUGAGGAUGAAUAUCAUGUGCUUAUGGAGUGUGAGGCGUAUACUGAGUUGCGUAAUAGGUUUCUGAUUAACGUUGA